rnacentral:rRNA from 1 species
AGUGGCGAACGGGUGCGUAACACGUGAACAAUUUACCUCGAAGUGGGGAAUAGCUCGCCGAAAGGCGAAUUAAUACCGCAUGUGGUGGUUUCUCGCAUGAGAGACUAACUAAAGUCAGGGAUCUCGCGCAAGCGGGACCUGACGCUUUGAGAGGAGUUCGCGGCCUAUCAGCUAGUUGGCGAGGUAACGGCUCACCAAGGCUAAGACGGGUAGCUGGUCUGAGAGGACGAUCAGCCACACUGGAACUGAGACACGGUCCAGACACC